rnacentral:rRNA from 1 species
AGAGUUUGAUCCUGGCUCAGGACGAACGCUGGCGGCGUGCUUAACACAUGCAAGUCGAACGGUGAACCUGCUUCGGUGGGGGAUCAGUGGCGAACGGGUGAGUAACACGUGGGCAACCUGCCCCCGGCUCUGGGAUAACUCCAAGAAAUUGGGGCUAAUACCGGAUGUGACCGCUGACCGCAUGGUCUGGUGGUGGAAAGAUUUAUCGGCUGGGGAUGGGCCCGCGGCCUAUCAGCUUGUUGGUGGGGUAGUGGCCUACCAAGGCGACGACGGGUAGCCGGCCUGAGAGGGUGACCGGCCACACUGGGACUGAGACACGGCCCAGACUCCUACGGGAGGCAGCAGUGGGGAAUAUUGCGCAAUGGGCGGAAGCCUGACGCAGCGACGCCGCGUGGGGGAUGACGGCCUUCGGGUUGUAAACCUCUUUCAGCAGGGACGAAGCGGAAGUGACGGUACCUGCAGAAGAAGCACCGCCAACUACGUGCCAGCAGCCGCGGUAAUACGUAGGGUGCAAGCGUUGUCCGGAAUUAUUGGGCGUAAAGAGCUCGUAGGCGGUCUGUCGCGUCGGCUGUGAAAUCCCGAGGCUCAACCUCGGGUCUGCAGUCGAUACGGGCAAACUAGAGUGUUGCAGGGGAGACUGGAAUUCCUGGUGUAGCGGUGAAAUGCGCAGAUAUCAGGAGGAACACCGGUGGCGAAGGCGGGUCUCUGGGCAACAACUGACGCUGAGGAGCGAAAGCGUGGGGAGCGAACAGGAUUAGAUACCCUAGUAGUCC